CUGGUUGAUCCUGCCAGUAGUCAUAUGCUUGUCUCAAAGAUUAAGCCAUGCAUGUCUAAGUACAAGCCUCACUAAGGUGAAACCGCGAAUGGCUCAUUAAAUCACACCUAAUGUACUGGAUAGUCUCAGUUACUUGGAUAACUGCGGUAAUUCUGGAGCUAAUACAUGCAAACGAUGCCCGACUCACGGAGGGCUGCUUUUAUUAGAUCAAAACCAAACGGCUUCGGCCGUGUUUUUGGUGAUUCUGAAUAACUUUGGGCUGAUCGCACGGUCAUGCACCGGCGACGUAUCCUUCCAAGGUGUGCCCAAUCAACUGUCGACUGUGGCAUAGACGCCCACAGUGGUUUUGACGGGUAACGGGGAAUUAGGGUUCGAUUCCGGAGAGGGAGCUGAGAAACGGCUACCACUUCUACGGAAGGCAGCAGGCACGCAAAUUACCCACUGGCCGAAGGCCGAGGUAGUGACGAAAAAUAACGAUACCGGACUCAUCCGAGGCCCGGUAAUCGGAAUGAGUACACUUUAAAUCCUUUAACGAGGAACAAUUGGAGGGCAAGUCUGGUCUGGCAGGAUCAACCA
rnacentral:rRNA from 1 species